rnacentral:rRNA from 1 species
UACAGAGGGGGCAAGCGUUGUUCGGAAUUACUGGGCGUAAAGGGCGCGUAGGCGGCCCGCUAAGUCGAACGUGAAAUCCCCGAGCUCAACUCGGGAACUGCGUCCGAUACUGGAUGGCUUGAAUCCGGGAGAGGGAUGCAGAAUUCCAGGUGUAGCGGUGAAAUGCGUAGAUAUCUGGAGGAAUACCGGUGGCGAAGGCGGCAUCCUGGACCGGCAUUGACGCUGAGGAGCGAAAGCUAGGGGAGCAAACGGGG